rfam:Ixodes scapularis strain Wikel colony gcontig_1108378344712, whole genome shotgun sequence.
UCCUGGUUACCUUAGUUGGUAGAGCGCUCCACUGGAAAUGGAGAGGUCCCCGGUUCGAUACCAGGAACAGGCU